GUGCUCACUUCGGCAGCACAUACACUAAAAUUGGAACCAUACAGAGAAGAUUAAGAGCCCUAUGCAAGGACAACAUGCAAAUUCAUGAAGCAUUCCAUAUUUUU
ensembl:snRNA U6 U6 spliceosomal RNA